UACAGAGGGUGCGAGCGUUGUCCGGAAUCACUGGGCGUAAAGGGCGCGUAGGUGGUGGCUUAAGCGUGCGGUGAAAGCUCGGGGCUCAACUCCGAGUCGGCCGUGCGAACUGGGCUCACUGGAGCAUAGUAGAGGCAGGUGGAAUUCCGGGUGUAGCGGUGGAAUGCGUAGAGAUCCGGAAGAACACCGGUGGCGAAGGCGGCGCCUGGGCCAAUAUUGACGCUGAGGUGCGAAAGCGUGGGGAGCAAACAGG
rnacentral:rRNA from 1 species